ensembl:lncRNA
GUUGACUGACUGCUGCCGGUUCUCUUCCGCUCGUGCUGCAGAGAGCAACCCUGCAGGAGCAUGGAGGAGAAGAGGAGGAGGAGAAGAGGAGGAGGAGGAGGAGGAAGAGGAGGCGGAGGAAGAGGAGUCUGUGCCAGAAUCACCGGCAAGCUGCGGUGAUUAGAAUGAGCCCAGCUGGCCCGGGGCCCCUCCAGGAGCCACUGCAGUGAGCUAUUUAUGGUCUCCUCAACAGCAAGGUCCCGCCUCUCGUGAGACAUUUUCA